GCUUUCCUCUUUGACGUUACCCACCCGGUGGUACGAGCCAAUUCGGGCUGGGCAGUCAUUCUAAGAAAAGCGAGAACGCUAAACGAGGGCAAAACUAGAAUCCAUGAGACCCCAUGCCCACAUCCGGUUCCGUAUCCAUGAUACCAAGCAAUACUCAAUGGUCCACACCACCGACGCAUGCAUUGACGAUGUGGUUCAAAGAGACGGCUUCAAGGUCCAUCUCGUGCCAUGUAAAUGACACAAGACGAAAGCGACUACCAUCACUUAGGUAGGCAGCACAGGAAACCCACAUUCUGGCUAGGCGAUACAAGCCUAAUUGUU
rnacentral:misc_RNA from 1 species